GACGAACGCUGGCGGCGCGCCUAACACAUGCAAGUCGAACGAGCGAGAGAGAGCUUGCUUUCUCAAGCGAGUGGCGAACGGGUGAGUAACGCGUGAGGAACCUGCCUCAAAGAGGGGGACAACAGUUGGAAACGACUGCUAAUACCGCAUAAGCCCACGGGUCGGCAUCGACCAGAGGGAAAAGGAGCAAUCCGCUUUGAGAUGGCCUCGCGUCCGAUUAGCUAGUUGGUGAGGUAAUGGCCCACCAAGGCAACGAUCGGUAGCCGGACUGAGAGGUUGAACGGCCACAUUGGGACUGAGACACGGCCCAGACUCCUACGGGAGGCAGCAGUGGGGAAUAUUGCACAAUGGGGGAAACCCUGAUGCAGCGACGCCGCGUGGAGGAAGAAGGUCUUCGGAUUGUAAACUCCUGUUGUUGAGGAAGAUAAUGACGGUACUCAACAAGGAAGUGACGGCUAACUACGUGCCAGCAGCCGCGGUAAAACGUAGGUCACAAGCGUUGUCCGGAAUUACUGGGUGUAAAGGGAGCGCAGGCGGGAAGACAAGUUGGAAGUGAAAUCUAUGGGCUCAACCCAUAAACUGCUUUCAAAACUGUUUUUCUUGAGUAGUGCAGAGGUAGGCGGAAUUCCCGGUGUAGCGGUGGAAUGCGUAGAUAUCGGGAGGAACACCAGUGGCGAAGGCGGCCUACUGGGCACCAACUGACGCUGAGGCUCGAAAGUGUGGGUAGCAAACAGGAUUAGAUACCCUGGUAGUCCACACCGUAAACGAUGAUUACUAGGUGUUGGAGGAUUGACCCCUUCAGUGCCGCAGUUAACACAAUAAGUAAUCCACCUGGGGAGUACGACCGCAAGGUUGAAACUCAAAGGAAUUGACGGGGGCCCGCACAAGCAGUAGAGUAUGUGGUUUAAUUCGACGCAACGCGAAGAACCUUACCAAGUCUUGACAUCCCUUGACGAACAUAGAAAUAUGUUUUCUCUUCGGAGCAAGGAGACAGGUGGUGCAUGGUUGUCGUCAGCUCGUGUCGUGAGAUGUUGGGUUAAGUCCCGCAACGAGCGCAACCCUUACUGUCAGUUACUACGCAAGAGGACUCUGGCAGGACUGCCGUUGACAAAACGGAGGAAGGUGGGGAUGACGUCAAAUCAUCAUGCCCUUUAUGACUUGGGCUACACACGUACUACAAUGGCGUUAAACAAAGAGAAGCAAGACCGCGAGGUGGAGCAAAACUCAGAAACAGCGUCCCAGUUCGGACUGCAGGCUGCAACUCGCCUGCACGAAGUCGGAAUUGCUAGUAAUCGUGGAUCAGCAUGCCACGGUGAAUACGUUCCCGGGCCUU
rnacentral:rRNA from 1 species